rnacentral:miRNA from 1 species
UAUUGCACAUUCCCCAGCCUGAA